rnacentral:tRNA from 1 species
UCCCUGGAGGUCCAGUGGUUAAGACUCUGUGCUUCUAAUGCAGAGGACGUGGGUUCGAUUCCUGGUCAGGGAA